GAUGAACGCUGGCGGCGUGCCUAAUACAUGCAAGUCGAGCGAACAGACGAGGAGCUUGCUCCUCUGACGUUAGCGGCGGACGGGUGAGUAACACGUGGAUAACCUACCUAUAAGACUGGGAUAACUUCGGGAAACCGGGGCUAAUACCGGAUAAUAUAUUGAACCGCAUGGUUCAAUAGUGAAAGACGGUUUUGCUGUCACUUAUAGAUGGAUCCGCGCCGCAUUAGCUAGUUGGUAAGGUAACGGCUUACCAAGGCAACGAUGCGUAGCCGACCUGAGAGGGUGAUCGGCCACACUGGAACUGAGACACGGUCCAGACUCCUACGGGAGGCAGCAGUAGGGAAUCUUCCGCAAUGGGCGAAAGCUUGACGGAGCAACGCCGCGUGAGUGAUGAAGGUCUUCGGAUCGUAAAACUCUGUUAUUAGGGAAGAACAAAUGUGUAAGUAACUAUGCACGUCUUGACGGUACCUAAUCAGAAAGCCACGGCUAACUACGUG
rnacentral:rRNA from 1 species